rnacentral:lncRNA from 10 species
AGUCAGUGCGGCGCCAGCUCUGCAGAGCCCAGACAGGGUCCGGUUGGGGAGGUGCUGGGAUUACAGAUGUGAGCCACCGUGCCCAGCCCAGAGUUCUUUUAUCCUCUAGAAAAUUCUUCAUUCCAUAGAGCUUUUUCAUAUUAUUAGCUUAAUUAUGCAUAAUGUUUUAUAAUUAAAAAUUUCUCUUUAUUUUGUUCUAUCCCCUGUUUCCUGUAAACUGCUGUUUGUGGUUUACUCGUUAUUAGAUUUGUCAAAGGUUUAUCUAGCUUACUAUUGUUUUUCCAAAGAACCAACAUUAGGAUUCAUUUAUAUCCAUUAUUUCUUUUAUUUGUAAUUUGUUUUUCUUUGAUAUGUAUUGCAUUUAUUUUUUAUUGUUUUUCUUCUUUGUCUCAGUUUUUAUACUGAAUACUUGAUUUAUAUUCUCUUUAUAUUUUCUAUAAUAGCAUACUUAUUAACGCAAAUGUACUUCUGGAUAUAGCGUUGGCCACAUCUUAACAUUUGAUUAUUCAUUUUUGUUUAUGUUGUCUAAAAAUUACAUUGUAGUGUGUCUAAAUAUUACAUUGUAGUGUUUCUAAAGAGUGCUUUGAAACUCAGUGAUUUGGUUUAUUUUUUGUUUAAAAAUAGUUUUGUUUUCUUGUUUUACUGCACUGUGAACACAGAAUGUGGCCUAUAACACAUCUGCUUCCAAAACUUUUUAAAAAGCUUUUAGUGUGGCCUAGAACAUGUCCAUUUUUUGUAAUUGUUUCACGAACAUUUAAGAUGAAGAUAUCUUCUCUGUCUGUAGAACUGAAAACUUUAUGUGCCUGUUAGUUAACUCAGUAUCGUCAAUUAUAUUGUUCAGAUUCAUGUGUUAUCUAAUUUUGGCCUAUUAUAUUCAUUAAAAACCAAUAAGGUUAUGUGAAACUUUGUUAGUACAAUUGUUUUUGCUAAUAAAUUUUUAUAAUCUUUGCUUUAUGUACUCAACAGCUGUGUAAUUCGAGGCAUAUAAGUGCAGCAUUGUUAUGUCCUUGUUAAUUAAAUAAUAUAUGUAAAACACCAUAUGACAAUGGCUGGCAGAUAGUAGGCACUCAAUAAAUGUUAAUUAAAACCUG